rnacentral:rRNA from 1 species
AUAACCGCUGGCUACAGGCUUUACACAUGCAAGUCGUGGGAACCGGCAUUAUGUGCUUGCACAUUCUGGACGUCGACCGGCGCACGGGUGAGUAUCGCGUAUCCAACCUGCCCCUUACUUGGGGAUACCCCGUUGAAAGACGGCCUAAUACCCGAUGUGUUUCAUUGACGGCAUCCGAUAUGAAACAAAGGUUUUUCCGGUAAGGGAUGGGGAUGCGUCUGAUUAGCUUGUUGGCGGGGCAACGGCCCACCAAGGCGACGAUCAGUAGGGGUUCUGAGAGGAAGGUCCCCCACAUUGGAACUGAGACACGGUCCAAACUCCUACGGGAGGCAGCAGUGAGGAAUAUUGGUCAAUGGACGCAAGUCUGAACCAGCCAAGUAGCGUGCAGGAUGACGGCCCUAUGGGUUGUAAACUGCUUUUAUGUGGGAAUAAAGUGGCGCACGUGUGCGCCCAUUGCAUGUACCUCAUGAAUAAGGACGGGAUUC